GUGGGGAAUUUUGGACAAUGGGCGCAAGCCUGAUCCAGCAAUGCCGCGUGCAGGAAGAAGGCCUUCGGGUUGUAAACUGCUUUUGUACGGAACGAAACGGUCCGGGUUAAUACCCUGGGCUAAUGACGGUACCGUAAGAAUAAGCACCGGCUAACUACGUGCCAGCAGCCGCGGUAAUACGUAGGGUGCAAGUGUUAAUCGGAAUUACUGGGCGUAAAGCGUGCGCAGGCGGUUUUGUAAGACAGGCGUGAAAUCCCCGGGCUCAACCUGGGAAUUGCGCUUGUGACUGAAAGGCUGGAGUGCGGCAGAGGGGGAUGGAAUUCCGCGUGUAGCGGUGAAAUGCGUAGAUAUGCGGAGGAACACCGAUGGCGAAGGCAAUCCCCUGGGCCUGCACUGACGCUCAUGCACGAAAGCGUGGGGAGCAAACAGGAUUAGAUACCCUUGUAGUCC
rnacentral:rRNA from 1 species